rnacentral:rRNA from 1 species
UAAUAGUGUAUAUUAAAGUUGUUGCAGUUAAAAAGCUCGUAGUUGAAUGUUGGUGUCGAACGAGCGGUCAGCUUCGGCUGUACUGCUCUCUCGACUCCUUCCUUCUGUGGACUACGUCGCACUUUACUGUGUGGCGCUAGGACGCAGAUUGUUUACUGUGAAAAAAUUAGAGUGUUCAAAGCAGGCCGUACGCUUGAAUACAUUAGCAUGGAAUAAUGGAAUAGGACGUCGGGCCUAUUUUGUUGGUUCUAGGACCGUCGUAAUGAUUAAUAGGGACAGUUGGGGCCGUUUAUAUUCCGUAGUCAGAGGUGAAAUUCUUGGAUUUACGGAAGAUAAACUACUGCGAAAGCAUUCGGCAAGGAUGUUUUCGUUAA